rnacentral:lncRNA from 1 species
CACCUUCGAUCUAUCCCUCUGUUGAUCACUUUGAGUAAUUAGAGCAUCUCCACCCCUAGAUGUAAGAUCUCAACUAAUAGGUCCAUCUUCUUUUUUGAGAACAGAGCGUCAUAUAUCUCCUCAAUGGUCAGUAUGUCACGACUAUACAAUGUAGUAUCACGAAACAAUGAAAAAGAACUGGGUAGCGAACACAACAUAUUUUACCUCCAACGUCUCUAAAUCUACGACAAUCUCCUUGAACACAGUAAGAUGGUCCUGCAGUGACCCUCCUUCCACCAUGCAAUGGGAAUACAACUUCUACUUUAGAGCUAGUUUGCUCGCUAGACUCUUUGUCAUGCACAACUGCUCCAGCUUAAGCCACAAAGCAGUCAUCGUCUUCUCCUUCAAGACAUCCUACAGAAUAUUGUUGGUUAAGUAAAGAUGAAUCUGUGCUAGAGCCUUUCGAUCCCUCCGUUGUUUCUCUUCAAUAGACAAAUUUGCUGGCAUCCUCUCAAAACCUAGCAAAGCAUCGUUAAGAUCAAUCUGUGUCAACACAGCCCUCACCUUUACUUGCCACAGCAAAAAUCUUGUAUUGUGAUCCAACAGCGAAAUUUCAUACUUCAACGAAUUCAUCCUUGAAAAAUCUCAAUCAAAUCACGAAAAACCUGCAACCCAUGCUCUG